CCUACUCCCCAUUAAAAACAUUGCAUUGUCCCUAAUGAAGAAAUAAAAGAGAGUAAAGGAGGGUAAAGACUCCCUGUGGCGCACUAGGCACUCGGGUUCAUGUCGGUAAAUGAUCGUACUGUCUCAAUAGGAGCCUCGUUAGACUGGGCUCCUCCCAUCGAGUCUGCUAUGAAGGGUGACUCAUCAUCCCUGGAUAAUUUCUCAUGGCAAGUUUUUCCUUGGAGACAUACCUAUGAGAAACAAACAAAACAAAACAAAACCAAAACAAAAGACAAAAAGUAAAGCAUGUUUUUGGAGUUUUGUUAGUUAAGAAAGAAAAUAAAGAUAAAAAAAGAAAAUAGGAUGCAAGGUAACUCAUCACUAGAGUCCAUGGGUUUUAUUUAUUACAACACUUAAUUAUUUAGGCACGACAAUGUCUCACAUUCUUCACAUUUCUCAAAACUAUCUCAUAGGACAUCUAUAACCUCCAAUGGAAACAAGAAUGACCAAUACCCUUAAGGAUGAUGUCAUCCAAUCUAUCAUAGGGCAAGUCAAACACUCAUUUUUCUCGGUUAGGCAUAGUGACCAACAAGAACCAUGGAUGCCAUAUUUCUCAAUAAACUUCUUCAACCAAUGACUACCAACUAUUUCAUUAUUAGGUUCAAUUGGACUCAAAACGAUGAUAAGAAAAUGACCACACCAUGCCCUAAGGAAAGUCACAUUGGCCACUACAAGCAUACAACACAUUCCUCUCUUAUUGUCAUUUCAACAAACAUAUAGCGGGCAUGCUAACUAUGAACUUGGAGAAAGAGAAUAGAAAGCACAAAAGAACAAGCUCAUUUCACCAAAUCAUCUUCAAACACAUUCAAGAUGCUUAUAUUAUUAUAAUUGAGCCACCCACCAUACAAAAUAAGCAAGAAAGGUUUUAAUGGACAUUUAUCAAGCACAUGGUGCACUAGCUUCAUUUAAGAGAGUAUCAUGAAUCAAACUAGUGAAACAAGGCACCAAUGACCAUAUAAUUAUUCCAACAAGUAUUAACAUCUCAAUAAGCUCACGAAAACCAAAUUCAAAUGAUCAAUCAUAAUGAGGUAUGAAGCACAAUAUCCAUUUUCAAGAGAAGUUAAAAAUAAAAUCAUGAAAGAGCAUACCUUUCUUGAUGUAAGAGAAGGAAAAAAGUGAAGAACAAGUCCAAAAGAAUUAUUACACUUCUUGCUAGCUCAAUUAUUGACAAAGAAAGAAAAAACUUUACUGUGAGAGAAAGGAUCCAUUGGAAUAGAGUUGUG
rnacentral:lncRNA from 1 species